rnacentral:rRNA from 1 species
UACGGGGGGGGCAAGCGUUGUUCGGAAUUACUGGGCGUAAAGGGUUCGUAGGUGGCCAACUAAGUCGGACGUGAAAUCCCUCAGCUUAACUGGGGAACUGCGUCCGAUACUGGAUGGCUUGGAUUCGGGAGAGGAAUGCGGAAUUCCAGGUGUAGCGGUGAAAUGCGUAGAUAUCUGGAGGAACACCGGUGGCGAAGGCGGCAUUCUGGACCGACAUUGACGCUGAGGAGCGAAAGCCAGGGGAGCAAACGGG